AUUGAACGCUGUCGGCAGGCCUAACACAUGCAAGUCGAACGAGAGGCGGACGGGUGAGUAAUGUACGGGAAACUGACUGAUGGAGGGGAAUAACUACUGGAAACGGUAGCUAAAACCGCAUACCAUCGGAUGUUCCCAGAUGGGAUUAGCGAGUGGGUGGGGUAAAGGCUCACCUAGGCGACGAUCCGUGGCUGGUAUGCGAGGAUGACCAGCCACACUGGCACUGAGACACGGUCCAGACUCCUACGGGAGGCAGCAGUGGGGAAUAUUGCACAAUGGGCGCAAUCCUGAUGCAGCCAUGCCGCGUGUAUGAAGAAGGCCUUCGGGUUGUAAAGUACUUUCAGCGGGGAGGCGUUACCCGCAGAAGAAGCACCGGCUAACUCCGUGCCAGCAGCCGCGGUAAUUC
rnacentral:rRNA from 1 species